UUAUGCGCGUGACGUCACAAAAGCAACGGAAGUGGUUGGACCCCAUCGGACCCGGUAGAAAAGCCUCUUGUUUUCGUCGACAAAAUUCCACAUUAUUCUGGACAUCUGUGUUGGUGAAUCUUUUGCAAUUUGUUUAAUGAACAAUGGAGACUGCAAAGAAAAAUGUUGUAGGUGGGAUCGAUCGGUGUCUUAGCGGCUAAGUACAAUACUGUAAUAUCUGUGAUAUUUGCAUUAGUGUACUGUCUUUAAGGGUUUGGGGAACGCGCAUGCGCGAGUGAGUUGGCGGAGAACUUGUGUGUGUGAGCGUGAGUUUUGGCUAACAGCAGCUCGUGUAUGUGUGUGCGUUACUUUUUGAACUACAACCAGUUACCGCUUUUUAAUAAAGCGAUUGAGCAGCGCUUCCUCGUCUGUGUGACUCCUUCUCCACUGCGGGGCAUUACAAUACUUACAGCAACACAACAAGGACUACUUACUACGCCUAGCUGAUGCUUGCCGCCAAACCCACGGAUGAAGUCCUUCGUCGUGCCGUUGAUCGCUGGAAUGCAGACAUGCUUUAGCAGCACGAGCAGGAAAACUCCACCUCAGCGUCAACCUCUUCCUUGACAAACAGCAUCCUUGUGAAGGAGUACGAGGUUGAGAGUUUGUCCAAUCAGAGCUAGAGCUUGGUUUCCAUUGCUGGCAGCCCAGUCACUGUGAACUUUGACCUCUGUCAAGGCUUCCCUUUGUCAUCGCUUCUGUUCAUUAUCUUUACAAACAGAUCUUAUAGGCGCAGCCAAGGCGUGGAUGGUGUUCAGCUUUGGGGGGCUUAAAGAUCUCCUCUGUGCUAUUUGUAGAUGAUGUACAAAGUAUUUUUUUUUCUCCUGUCAUUUCCAGCCAGUAGAUAAAUGUUCAAUAAUAUUCUAAUAUACCUUUCUUUUUAAAGUGAA